rnacentral:rRNA from 1 species
CGGCACGCUUCAUACAUGCAAGUCGAGGGGCAGCAUAAAGUACUUGUACUUUGAUGGCGACCGGCGAACGGGUGCGUAACGCGUAUGCAACUUACCUUUUACUAGAGAAUAGCCAAGAGAAAUUUUGAUUAAUGCUCUAUACUCUUUUUAACUCACAUGAGUUUUUAAGAAAAGCUCCGGCGGUAAAAGAUGAGCAUGCGUCCUAUUAGUUUGUAGGUGAGGUAACGGCUCACCUAGACUACGAUAGGUAGGGGCCCUGAGAGGGGGAUCCCCCACACUGGUACUGAGACACGGACCAGACUCCUACGGGAGGCAGCAGUAAGGAAUAUUGGACAAUGGACGAAAGUCUGAUCCAGCCAUGCCGCGUGCAGGAUGAAAGCCCUAUGGGUUGUAAACUGCUUUUAUACAGGAAGAAACACUCCGACGUGUCGGAGCUUGACGGUACUGUAAGAAUAAGGAUCGG